rnacentral:rRNA from 1 species
UUGGAGGGCAAGUCUGGUGCCAGCAGCCGCGGUAAUUCCAGCUCCAAUAGCGUAUAUUAAACUUGUUGCAGUUAAAAAGCUCGUAGUUGAAUUUCUGCCCCGUAGUUUUCGUCCGCUUCGGCGGUUUACGUUUACUUCGCGGCUUUUUCUGGUUAUUUUAGGCCCCGGUCUAUUUUAUCCAGUUAAUUACUUUGAGAAAAUUAGAGUGCUUCAAGCAGGCUUUUGCCUUGAAUACUUCAGCAUGGAAUAAUAAAGUAGGACUUUGGUUCUAUUUUGUUGGUUUCGUGAACCAAAGUAAUGGUU